UACAGAGGCCCCAAGCGUUGUUCGGAUUCAUUGGGCGUAAAGGGUGCGUAGGCGGCGCGGUAAGUCGGGUGUGAAAUCUCGGGGCUUAACUCCGAAACUGCAUUCGAUACUGCCGUGCUUGAGGACUGGAGAGGAGACUGGAAUUUACGGUGUAGCGGUGAAAUGCGUAGAUAUCGUAAGGAAGACCAGUGGCGAAGGCGGGUCUCUGGACAGUUCCUGACGCUGAGGCACGAAGGCCAGGGGAGCAAACAGG
rnacentral:rRNA from 1 species